rnacentral:pre_miRNA from 1 species
UCAUUUGGAUUCGCCAUCAUACGUCCAACCGUGCAUUUGAUAUGCAUAUAUAUGCAUCACGGCCCGUGGUGGGGCUGUAUGAUGGCGAUACCGAUUGG